UAAGCACUAGGCUAGAUGGCUAAGAUCAUGUGUACUAUCUGUUCUUAUCAGUUUAAUAUCUGAUACGUCUUCGAUGUGAAGAUGCUGUGUUUACCAGCUUUUUGGAGAAAGGAGGGGGUUGGGAGCUUGCUCUGUCCCCUCCAGGCAUCGGUCUGGUAUUGCUGUACUUCCAGGAUAGGUGUUUUUUUU